CCUACGGGGGACAGCAGUGAGGAAUAUUGGUCAAUGGACGAGAGUCUGAACCAGCCAAGUAGCGUGAAGGAUGACUGCCCUAUGGGUUGUAAACUUCUUUUAUCUGGGAAUAAAAUUUUCCACGUGUGGGAUUUUGUAUGUACCAUAUGAAUAAGGAUCGGCUAACUCCGUGCCAGCAGCCACGGUAAUACGGAGGAUCCGAGCGUUAUCCGGAUUUAUUGGGUUUAAAGGGGGCGUAGGUGGAUUGUUAAGUCAGUUGGGAAUGUUUGCGGCUCACGGGUAGAAUUGCAAUUGAAACUGGCAGGCUGGAGUGCAGAAGAGGUGGGAGGAAUUUGUGGUGUAGCGGUGAAAUGCAUAGAUAUCACGAAGAACACCGAUUGCGAAGGCAGCUCACGAAACUGCGACUGACACUGAGGCACGAAAGCGUGGGUAUCAAACAGGAUUAGAUACCCUUGUAGUC
rnacentral:rRNA from 1 species